rnacentral:rRNA from 1 species
UAGGGAAUCUUCCGCAAUGGGCGAAAGCCUGACGGAGCAACGCCGCGUGAGUGAUGAAGGUUUUCGGAUCGUAAAGCUCUGUUGUUAAGGAAGAACGAGUGUGAGAAUGGAAAGUUCAUACUGUGACGGUACUUAACCAGAAAGGGACGGCUAACUACGUGCCAGCAGCCGCGGUAAUACGUAGGUCCCGAGCGUUGUCCGGAUUUAUUGGGCGUAAAGCGAGCGCAGGCGGUUAGAUAAGUCUGAAGUUAAAGGCAGUGGCUCAACCAUUGUAGGCUUUGGAAACUGUUUAACUUGAGUGCAGAAGGGGAGAGUGGAAUUCCAUGUGUAGCGGUGAAAUGCGUAGAUAUAUGGAGGAACACCGGUGGCGAAAGCGGCUCUCUGGUCUGUAACUGACGCUGAGGCUCGAAAGCGUGGGGAGCGAACAGG